rnacentral:rRNA from 1 species
GACAGAGGUGCCAAGCGUUAGGCGGAAUCACUGGGCUUAAAGCGUGUGUAGGCGGACUUUUAAGUGUUUUGUGAAAUCCCACGGCUUAACCGUGGAACUGCUUAACAUACUGGGAGUCUUGAGCUGCCUAGGGGUCGCUGGAACAAACGGUGGAGCGGUGAAAUGCGUAGAUAUCGUUUGGAACGCCAAAGGUGAAAACAGGCGACUGGGGGCAAGCUGACGCUGAGACACGAAAGCCAGGGGAGCAAACGGG